GCCAAUGGCACUGCCCGGUAGCUAAAUGCGGAAGAGAUAAGUGCUGAAAGCAUCUAAGCACGAAACUUGCCCCGAGAUGAGUUCUCCCUGAGACUUUAAGUCUCCUGAAGGAACGUUGAAGACGACGACGUUGAUAGGCCGGGUGUGUAAGCGCAGCGAUGCGUUGAGCUAACCGGUACUAAUGAACCGUGAGGCUUAACCUU
rnacentral:rRNA from 1 species